UCUCAAUGUUACGGGUGAUAAGCACUUCCUUUGCACAAUUGCUGACCACUGCUCUGCGGGACAAAAAUUAGCCAUUACCGUAGCUGAAGGCAACACCACCUCAUCAGGGACAUCACCGCCGCCACCCUCAGCCGCCUCAAGUCCUGUUGCAACCUUUGCUUUGAUGUUCGUGUGCAUUGCCAUUAGUUUGAUGUGUUGCUUUUAGCCCAUCCUGUAGCAAUAAUUU
rnacentral:lncRNA from 1 species